GCCGGGCGUGGUGGCGGGCGCCUGUAGUCCCAGCUACUCGGAGGCUGAGGCGGGAGAAUGGCGUGAACCCGGGAGGUGGAGCUUGCAGUGAGCCGAGAUCAGGCCACUGACCUCCAGCCUGGGUGACAGAGUGAGACUCCGUCUCAA
ensembl:misc_RNA Metazoa_SRP Metazoan signal recognition particle RNA